UAAUUAACUGGGCCACCACAUCAGGUCACACACGGUUGGCUGCAGUUGCUCUAGAUCUGGAGAACAGAGAGAGAUUGCAACGAAGUGAGGAGGAAAAGUCUGAUCAAUGCUCGAGAAUCGGUUCUUUUGAACACAUCGUUCCAAGACUCGGCUAUUCUUUACGUCGUGAGGAACCUGAUGACAUCCAGACGACCCUCAGAGGCUGCGACGUGCAGCGCUGACCGUCCAUCAUAAUCCACAGCAUUCACAUCUGCUCCUGACAGAAGAAAUGGACACCCCUCCAUGAAUUUCCAUUGCAGUCCAGUCCAGGAGACCAGCACAUUAGUCCCAGGACUCCAGGAACCACGAUCAACACGACACCAGACCCACUGGACUUAGCAGGCACAGAUGUC